CCCCCCCUCUCUCGGUUUCUCCCCUCACCCGAACCCCUCUCUUUCCCUCUUCUCUUCUUCUUCCGCCACAGCAGCACCGACACCCCCUCUCUUCCCUUCCCUCUUCUUCCCUUCAAUUUCCACUUGCUGGCCGAGUAAGAGCUGCUGCCGAGAGUGGGAUUUCUGCAUAAAAUUGGUGUUGGCCGUAGAUGCUAAGAAAUUAAGGCACAAAAGGUGGAGACUUCAAUUGUUCCCCAACGGUGAGUUCAAGGUAACUAGAACGUGGGGGAUAUUCGAGUCAUGAGUCCAAUGCAGCUAGACUCUGAUGCUUUGACUGCAGGUUCAGUGGAUUUAGUGAAUGACAUCAUAGCAUAUUAAUUGGGAUGUUAUGACUGAAGCCCGGUGCGACAGUUAUAAUGGUUGGACUAUGGGUUGUUCGCCUUUUGGUAGACUUAGUUUAUGGCUAGUGUCGCCUGUGACACUUGUAUUUAUGAGCUAGUCUUUUGGUAUGUAUUUAAUAGUUAUGCAGAAAUCUUAAAUAGAUA